rnacentral:rRNA from 1 species
UACGGAGGGUGCAAACGUUGCUCGGAAUCAUUGGGCGUAAAGCGCACGUAGGCGGCGGCAUAAGCGGAAUGUGAAAGCCCAGGGCUCAACCCUGGAAGUGCAUCCCGAACUGUGUCGCUUGAAUCUCGGAGGGGGACAGAGAAUUCCCGGUGUAGAGGUGAAAUUCGUAGAUAUCGGGAGGAAUACCAGUGGCGAAGGCGCUGUCCUGGACGAAGAUUGACGCUGAGGUGCGAAAGCGCGGGGAGCAAACAGGG